rnacentral:rRNA from 1 species
GGCGGCGUGCUAAUACAUGCAAGUCGAACGCUUCUUUUUCCACCGGAGCUUGCUCCACCGGAAAAAGAGGAGUGGCGAACGGGUGAGUAACACGUGGGUAACCUGCCCAUCAGAAGGGGAUAACACUUGGAAACAGGUGCUAAUACCGUAUAACAAUCGAAACCGCAUGGUUUUGAUUUGAAAGGCGCUUUCGGGUGUCGCUGAUGGAUGGACCCGCGGUGCAUUAGCUAGUUGGUGAGGUAACGGCUCACCAAGGCGACGAUGCAUAGCCGACCUGAGAGGGUGAUCGGCCACAUUGGGACUGAGACACGGCCCAAACUCCUACGGGAGGCAGCAGUAGGGAAUCUUCGGCAAUGGACGAAAGUCUGACCGAGCAACGCCGCGUGAGUGAAGAAGGUUUUCGGAUCGUAAAACUCUGUUGUUAGAGAAGAACAAGGAUGAGAGUAACUGUUCAUCCCUUGACGGUAUCUAACCAGAAAGCCACGGCUAACUACGUGCCAGCAGCCGCGGUAAUACGUAGGUGGCAAGCGUUGUCCGGAUUUAUUGGGCGUAAAGCGAGCGCAGGCGGUUUCUUAAGUCUGAUGUGAAAGCCCCCGGCUCAACCGGGGAGGGUCAUUGGAAACUGGGAGACUUGAGUGCAGAAGAGGAGAGUGGAAUUCCAUGUGUAGCGGUGAAAUGCGUAGAUAUAUGGAGGAACACCAGUGGCGAAGGCGGCUCUCUGGUCUGUAACUGACGCUGAGGCUCGAAAGCGUGGGGAGCAAACAGGAUUAGAUACCCUGGUAGUCCACGCCGUAAACGAUGAGUGCUAAGUGUUGGAGGGUUUCCGCCCUUCAGUGCUGCAGCUAACGCAUUAAGCACUCCGCCUGGGGAGUACGACCGCAAGGUUGAAACUCAAAGGAAUUGACGGGGGCCCGCACAAGCGGUGGAGCAUGUGGUUUAAUUCGAAGCAACGCGAAGAACCUUACCAGGUCUUGACAUCCUUUGACCACUCUAGAGAUAGAGCUUCCCCUUCGGGGGCAAAGUGACAGGUGGUGCAUGGUUGUCGUCAGCUCGUGUCGUGAGAUGUUGGGUUAAGUCCCGCAACGAGCGCAACCCUUAUUGUUAGUUGCCAUCAUUUAGUUGGGCACUCUAGCAAGACUGCCGGUGACAAACCGGAGGAAGGUGGGGAUGACGUCAAAUCAUCAUGCCCCUUAUGACCUGGGCUACACACGUGCU